ensembl:misc_RNA Metazoa_SRP Metazoan signal recognition particle RNA
GCUGGGCAUAGUGGUGUGUGCCUGUAGUCCCAGCUACUCAGGAGGCUGGGGUGGGAGGAUCUCUUGAGCCUGGGAGGUCGAGGCUGCAGUGAGCUGUGAUUGUGAUGAUGCCACUGCAUUCUAGCCUGGGUAACAGAGGGAGACCCUGUCUUAA